GAUGAAGAACGUAGCGAAAUGCGAUAAGUAAUGUGAAUUGCAGAAUUCAGUGAAUCAUCGAAUCUUUGAACGCACAUUGCGCCCGCCAGUAUUCUGGCGGGCAUGCCUGUUCGAGCGUCAUUUCAACCAUCAAGCCCCCGGCUUGUGUUGGGGACCUGCGGCUGCCGCAGGCCCUGAAAACCAGUGGCGGGCUCGCUGUCACACCGAGCGUAGUAGAUUUUCAUCUCGCUCAGGGCGUGCUGCGGGUUCCGGCCGUAAAAAGCCUUAUUUACCCAAGGUUGACCUCGGAUCAGGUAGGAUGACCCGCUGAACUUAAGCAUAUCAAUAAGCGGAGGA
rnacentral:misc_RNA from 1 species